UACGUAGGGGGCUAGCGUUGUCCGGAAUCAUUGGGCGUAAAGCGCGUGUAGGCGGUCCGGUAAGUCCGCUGUGAAAGUCGAGGGCUCAACCCUCGAAUGCCGGUGGAUACUGUCGGGCUUGAGUACGGGAGAGGCGAGUGGAAUUCCUGGUGUAGCGGUGAAAUGCGCAGAUAUCAGGAGGAACACCAAUUGCGAAGGCAGCUCGCUGGAACGUUACUGACGCUGAGACGCGAAAGCGUGGGGAGCAAACAGG
rnacentral:rRNA from 1 species